UACGAAGGGGGCUAGCGUUGCUCGGAAUUACUGGGCGUAAAGGGCGCGUAGGCGGGUGUCUAAGUCAGAGGUUAAAUCCCAGAGCUCAACUCUGGAACUGCCUUUGAGACUGGACGCCUAGAGUUUGGGAGAGGUGAGUGGAAUGCCGAGUGUAGAGGUGAAAUUCGUAGAUAUUCGGCGGAACACCAGUGGCGAAGGCGACUCACUGGCCCAAUACGUGACGCUG
rnacentral:rRNA from 1 species